UUGAUCAGAUCAUUAUCAUCUCCAAAAUUAAAUCUGAACCUCAUGUCUAAUGCUAGCUAGACAUAGUUAACUUGUUUAAGCCUAUAUGACCUUUAACUUAAUUCUCAAUUAAGCUAAUCUAUUUAUUCAAUCAAGUCAAGUACUUUCAAAUUGAACUCAUAGACUUGGUUCAAUUUUUUUCUAUAUUUUCUGAUUUUGUGCACGACUCUACUA
rnacentral:lncRNA from 1 species